CCGCACCACAAGGAACGUGCCCAGGGCCACACAGCAACUUUAAGGACAGAGCCAGUUCUAGAACCCAGGAGUUCAGGUUUCCAGAUGGUUUCUACUCGUUUGAGAACUUGUGAAUACUCCAUCCUUAUAUAGAAAGCUGGGACAUGUUCUGCAGGCCUGAGGCAUUAUCUGUAAAGCAAGCAUCUUCCCAAGCACACAGUGUCAACAAUUACCUUCAAGCGGAGUGGCUGGAAACAAAAGUAAACAUUGUGUCAAUUUCUUUGGUAGGAAUUCAAGAGUGACUCAGCUGGCUUGUUCUGAUUUGUGUCUCCCUUGGGGUUGCAGUCAAGAUGUCAGCUGGGACUGCAGUCAUUGGUGAGCUUGACUGGAGCUGGAGAAUCUGAUUCUAAGGGACAUCAUACAAAAGGGCAUGACUACCAGGAGAUGAGGACCACUGGGGUCCCCUUGGCAGCUGGCUCCCACAACCCUUCAUAUGCUGGGCAUGGCGUAUGGAUCAACAGUGAGCAGUGAAAAACGAUGGUUCCCAUUCUCAGUUUACAGUCUAGCAGGACCAACGUGAAUCAAAUCACCAGGCAAAUACAUGCAGAACCUCGACUCUGCUAAUGUGCUUCAGGAAAAGUCGCUGGAGCUUGGG